UAUCAUUAAAAAGAAAAUGAAAAAGAAAAAAAAUAGAUUGAGACGUUUCUUAUUUGGAGUCAAAGAAGAAAUGUAUACGGGACACGUGUGAGCAAAUUGAGAGGAGAGAGGAGGAGCAUGGUUUCGUGCUCUGGUUCUGUUCUCUCUCUUUCUCCCUCACGAAGAACGGUGAUUUCCUCUGGUACAUCCACCGUUGCUCAACUUUCUUCUAAGAAGCCGGAGACUUCCGACGGAGUUAUGUCUCCUGCCUGCCUUCAUCCACGCCGCCAGAGAUUUCCUCUGACUGCCUUCACCCGCUCUGCCGCUUCUUCCGUACCGAGACUCUCUUCACGAUCAGAAUGAAACCCAUCUCCACAAGAAAUCUCAAUAAAGCUCAACAACAAUGCAAAGCAGCUUCAAGACCAUUCCUUUCAACCCUGACUUCUACUCCCAAGCUUCUUUCUUCUUCAAGGAGAUAGUUGUCGUGAGGUGGCUCUGUGUAUUUUAUUGCAUUGCCCAGGCUUCUCGAAAUCACCUGCAACACACAAGGUUCAUCGCACAAAGAGUACAAUGCAAAACAGGUUAGGAUGAUCAAUGCUUGUCUUAAAAAUGUGCUUGUUCUCUUGUUCUGAUUAUGUUCAAGUUCUUGUGCUUUGUCUUGUUCUGUUUCAGUAAUGAGAAUGAUAUGCUUCAUGUUUUUGGUUGUGGUUAUUGAUUCAUGUUCUUGCUUA